rnacentral:rRNA from 1 species
UAUUGCACAAUGGGCGAAAGCCUGAUGCAGCAACGCCGCGUGAGGGAUGACGGCCUUCGGGUUGUAAACCUCUUUUAGUAGGGAAGAAGCGGAUGAAUUUAUUCUGAGUGACGGUACCUGCAGAAAAAGCACCGGCUAACUACGUUCCAGCAGCCGCGGUAAUACGUAGGGUGCAAGCGUUGUCCGGAAUUAUUGGGCGUAAAGAGCUUGUCGGCGGUGUGUCGCGUCUGCUGUGAAAUCCCGAGGCUCAACCUCGGGCUUGCAGUGGGUACGGGCAGACUAGAGUGCGGUAGGUGAGAUUGGAAUUCCUGGUGUAGCGGUGGAAUGCGCAGAUAUCAGGAGGAACACCGAUGGCGAAGGCGGAUCUCUGGGCCGUAACUGACGCUGAGGAGCGAAAGCGUGGGGAGCGAACAG